rnacentral:rRNA from 1 species
GUGCAGCAGUCGCGAAAACUCCGCAAUACGCGAAAGCGUGACGGGGCUACCCCGAGUGUCGUCCGCUGAGGACGACUUUUCCACGCUGUAAGGAGGCGUGGGAAUAAGGAGAGGGCAAGUCUGGUGUCAGCCGCCGCGGUAAUACCAGCUCUCCGAGUGGUAGGGACGAUUAUUGGGCCUAAAGCGUCCGUAGCCGGCCAAGCAAGUUUCCCGUUAAAUCCAGCGAUCCAAUCGUUGGACUGCGGGAAAUACUGUUUGGCUAGGGGGCGAGAGAGGCCAACGGUAUUCCCGGGGUAGGGGUGAAAUCCCAUAAUCCCGGGAGGACCACCAGUGGCGAAGGCUGUUGGCUAGAACGCGCUCGACGGUGAGGGACGAAAGCUGGGGGAGCGAACCGGAUUAGAUACCCGGGUAGUCC